rnacentral:rRNA from 1 species
UUGAACGCUGGCGGCAUGCCUUACACAUGCAAGUCGAACGGCGGCGCGGGAGCAAUCCUGGCGGCGAGUGGCGAACGGGUGAGUAAUACAUCGGAACGUGCCCAAUCGUGGGGGAUAACGCAGCGAAAGCUGUGCUGAUACCGCAUACGAUCUACGGAUGAAAGCAGGGGAUCGCAAGACCUUGCGCGAAUGGAGCGGCCGAUGGCAGAUUAGGUAGUUGGUGAGGUAAAGGCUCACCAAGCCUUCGAUCUGUAGCUGGUCUGAGAGGACGACCAGCCACACUGGGACUGAGACACGGCCCAGACUCCUACGGGAGGCAGCAGUGGGGAAUUUUGGACAAUGGGCGAAAGCCUGAUCCAGCCAUGCCGCGUGCAGGAUGAAGGCCUUCGGGUUGUAAACUGCUUUUGUACGGAACGAAACGGUCUUUUCUAAUACAGAAGGCUAAUGACGGUACCGUAAGAAUAAGCACCGGCUAACUACGU